rnacentral:rRNA from 1 species
GAUGAACGCUGGCGGCGUGCCUAAUACAUGCAAGUCGAGCGAACAGACGAGGAGCUUGCUCCUCUGACGUUAGCGGCGGACGGGUGAGUAACACGUGGAUAACCUACCUAUAAGACUGGGAUCACUUCGGGAAACCGGGGCUAAUACCGGAUAAUAUAUUGAACCGCAUGGUUCAAUAGUGAAAGACGGUUUUGCUGUCACUUAUAGAUGGAUCCGCGCCGCAUUAGCUAGUUGGUAAGGUAACGGCUUACCAAGGCAACGAUGCGUAGCCGACCUGAGAGGGUGAUCGGCCACACUGGAACUGAGACACGGUCCAGACGCCUACGGGAGGCAGCAGUAGGGAAUCUUCCGCAAUGGGCGAAAGCCUGACGGAGCAACGCCGCGUGAGUGAUGAAGGUCUUCGGAUCGUAAAACUCUGUUAUUAGGGAAGAACAAAUGUGUAAGUAACUAUGCACGUCUUGACGGUACCUAAUCAGAAAGCCACGGCUAACUACGUG